AACGAACGCUGGCGGCAUGCCUAACACAUGCAAGUCGAACGAGACCUUCGGGUCUAGUGGCGCACGGGUGCGUAACGCGUGGGAACCUGCCCUUAGGUUCGGAAUAACUCCCCGAAAGGGGUGCUAAUACCGGAUAAUGUCUUCGGACCAAAGAUUUAUCGCCUUUGGAUGGGCCCGCGUUGGAUUAGCUAGUUGGUAAGGUAAAAGCCUACCAAGGCGACGAUCCAUAGCUGGUCUGAGAGGAUGAUCAGCCACACUGGGACUGAGACACGGCCCAGACUCCUACGGGAGGCAGCAGUGGGGAAUAUUGGACAAUGGGCGAAAGCCUGAUCCAGCAAUGCCGCGUGAGUGAUGAAGGCCUUAGGGUUGUAAAGCUCUUUUACCCGGGAUGAUAAUGACAGUACCGGGAGAAUAAGCUCCGGCUAACUCCGUGC
rnacentral:rRNA from 1 species